GGAUAAUUUUCCAUAUGCAUGAGAAAUAUUAUAAAUAUUUGAUUUGUUAAUAUGAAUUGGAUCAUGCUUCUUGAUAAUAUAUAUGCUGAUUAUUAUCCUUAUUUUGAUAAAGCAUGAUCAAUUAUUGAAUCUGAAUUCUUGAUAUGAACCAGUAUAUAUUUUGAAUUGAAUUCUGAAUUGAUAGCUCCUCAUUUGAUUGAUGUCAUGAGUUGAGCCUUGAGAUAUGAAUACGUCUGUUUGAUUAUGAUUAUGAACCUAUGGUAUGUCAGUCAGAAUACCCAUGCUAACAGGGUAGUGUUAGUCUUUGUGCACAUCGUAUCUGAACCCUAGUUGGUCGGGGGAGUCACCAACCUGUGUGGACUGAUCAUCCCACAGUACGGAGCCUCAUGCUCAUUGCAUUUUGAUUUUCUGACGAGUUUUACCAUAUGACAUUCUUGUUAUGGCCAAUUUGAGAACACUUCCAUAAGAACCUAAAGCCAUACUUGUAUAUAUAUUUCUCAUUGUUGUAUUACCUCGUGUGUGAGUGGAUAAUUUUCCAUAUGCAUGAGAAAUAUUAUAAAUAUUUGAUUUGUUAAUAUGAAUUGGAUCAUGCUUCUUGAUAAUAUAUAUGCUGAUUAUUAUCCUUAUUUUGAUAAAGCAUGAUCAAUUAUUGAAUCUGAAUUCUUGAUAUGAACCAGUAUAUAUUUUGAAUUGAAUUCUGAAUUGAUAGCUCCUCAUUUGAUUGAUGUCAUGAGUUGAGCCUUGAGAUAUGAAUACGUCUGUUUGAUUAUGAUUAUGAACCUAUGGUAUGUCAGUCAGAAUACCCAUGCUAACAGGGUAGUGUUAGUCUUUGUGCACAUCGUAUCUGAACCCUAGUUGGUCGGGGGAGUCACCAACCUGUGUGGACUGAUCAUCCCACAGUACGGAGCCUCAUGCUCAUUGCAUUUUGAUUUUCUGACGAGUUUUACCAUAUGACAUUCUUGUUAUGGCCAAUUUGAGAACACUUCCAUAAGAACCUAAAGCCAUACUUGUAUAUAUAUUUCUCAUUGUUGUAUUACCUCGUGUGUGUAUAUUGAACGUUAUCUACUCACUGAGUUGUUGAACUCACCAUCUCAUUAUUUAUCCUUUUCAGGCUUAUAGCUUGAUAGCAGGUCACUUUUGUUGGACUUUCCGAACCUGCUCUUUUGGUUGUAAUUUGUACAUUUUCCUUUAUGUCUAGUUAGUGCUCCAAAACUCCGAAUUUAUAUUAACUCUUGUAUUAAGACAAUUCAAUUAUAUUAUGAAGUUGAUUUUGUUAUUAA